rnacentral:ribozyme from 1 species
GACUACAACAUAAGGAAGGACGAGUGCAUCUUCGAGGACAGGAAGGAGUUCCUCCUGGACCAGGCCAAGGGCAACGACGACUUUUCGACC